UUCAAAUUAUCAUAUAUUAAUGAGUUUAAUUGUUAAUUAAAAAAAAUUUUUUAAAAUAUUUGAUUUA
rnacentral:tRNA from 1 species